ACCAUACCAGGUCUUGACAUUGAUCACAGUCUGCAGAAAUGAGGAGUUCUUCUUUGGAAGACGAGAAAACAGGUGGUGCACGGCUGUCGUCAGCUCGUGUCGUGAGAUGUUGGGUUAAGUCCCGCAACGAGCGCAACCCCUAUCAUUUGUUACCAGCACGUAAAGGUGGGGACUCAAAUGAGACCGCCGCGGACAACGCGGAGGAAGGCGGGGACGACGUCAAGUCAUCAUGCCCCUUAUGACCUGGGCUACACACGUACUACAAUGGGUGUCAACAAAGAGAAGCGAAACCGCGAGGAAGAGCAAACCUCAAAAACACACCCCCAGUUCAGAUCGCAGGCUGCAACCCGCCUGCGUGAAGUAGGAAUCG
rnacentral:rRNA from 1 species